AUUGAACGCUGGCGGCAUGCUUUACACAUGCAAGUCGAACGGCAGCGCGGGCUUCGGCCUGGCGGCGAGUGGCGAACGGGUGAGUAAUACAUCGGAACGUGCCCAGUCGUGGGGGAUAGCUCGGCGAAAGCCGGAUUAAUACCGCAUACGACCUGAGGGUGAAAGCGGGGGAUCUUCGGACCUCGCGCUAUUGGAGCGGCCGAUGGCCGAUUAGCUAGUUGGUGGGGUAAAGGCCUACCAAGGCGACGAUCUGUAGCUGGUCUGAGAGGACGACCAGCCACACUGGGACUGAGACACGGCCCAGACUCCUACGGGAGGCAGCAGUGGGGAAUUUUGGACAAUGGGCGAAAGCCUGAUCCAGCAAUGCCGCGUGUGUGAUGAAGGCCUUCGGGUUGUAAAGCACUUUUGGCGGGAACGAAAAGGACUGUGCCAAUACCACGGUUCGAUGACGGUACCCGCAGAAUAAGCACCGGCUAACUACGUG
rnacentral:rRNA from 1 species